rnacentral:rRNA from 1 species
AACGAACGCUGGCGGCAGGCUUAACACAUGCAAGUCGAACGCCCCGCAAGGGGAGUGGCAGACGGGUGAGUAACGCGUGGGAACAUACCCUUUUCUACGGAAUAGCUCUGGGAAACUGGAAUUAAUACCGUAUACGCCCUACGGGGGAAAGAUUUAUCGGGGAAGGAUUGGCCCGCGUUGGAUUAGCUAGUUGGCGGGGUAAAGGCCUACCAAGGCGACGAUCCAUAGCUGGUCUGAGAGGAUGAUCAGCCACAUUGGGACUGAGACACGGCCCAAACUCCUACGGGAGGCAGCAGUGGGGAAUAUUGGACAAUGGGCGCAAGCCUGAUCCAGCCAUGCCGCGUGAGUGAUGAAGGCCUUAGGGUUGUAAAGCUCUUUCACCGAUGAAGAUAAUGACGGUAGUCGGAGAAGAAGCCCCGGCUAACUUCGUGCCAGCAGCCGCCGCAGUAA